rnacentral:rRNA from 1 species
GAUGAACGCUGGCGGCGUGCCUAAUACAUGCAAGUCGAGCGAACAGACGAGGAGCUUGCUCCUCUGACGUUAGCGGCGGACGGGUGAGUAACACGUGGAUAACCUACCUAUAAGACUGGGAUAACUUCGGGAAACUGGAGCUAAUACCGGAUAAUAUAUUGAACCGCAUGGUUCAAUAGUGAAAGACGGUUUUGCUGUCACUUAUAGAUGGAUCCGCGCCGCAUUAGCUAGUUGGUAAGGUAACGGCUUACCAAGGCGACGAUGCGUAGCCGACCUGAGAGGGUGAUCGGCCACACUGGAACUGAGACACGGUCCAGACUCCUACGGGAGGCAGCAGUAGGGAAUCUUCCGCAAUGGGCGAAAGCCUGACGGAGCAACGCCGCGUGAGUGAUGAAGGUCUUCGGAUCGUAAAACUCUGUUAUUAGGGAAGAACAAAUGUGUAAGUAACUAUGCACGUCUUGACGGUACCUAAUCAGAAAGCCACGGCUAACUACGUGC